GCAUAACUAACUUAUUUGACUACUUCCACUAAAAUAUACUCAGCUUCAUGUCAACAGCUCCUGAGACAUGUCUCAUUCAACAACUUUACUGUUCCUACGCCACUGAUGAUACAAAUAGAAGAAUAUUGGUGUGGACGAGUAGGUUAAGAACUGCAAAUGACAUUGGCAAUGCCAUUGUUUAUGGCAUUUCCCACACCCAUCAUAUAUAUGAAAAUAAUACCCCAUAACAUCAUCAUAGACCAACGUGGAGUUGCUAAAUUAUUUGACUUCUCACAUUCC
rnacentral:lncRNA from 1 species